UACUAUAUCCUUUUCAUUGCUAUUCAUCUUCACCUUGAUGCUUAUUUUAAAGACUUGUUCUCAUCCCCACUCCUUGCUUGAUAUACUUUUAGAACCUUGUCUUACCACUUUCUGGCGUCAUUGAAAUAGGAGUUUUAGGAUCUUUGCCCUUAAUAGGAAGAGAACGUUAGUACCGCAAGUUGAGUCAAUGCUUGAAGUGUGAACUUUUGAGGCUUGAUUUGGAUUUUUGUAAUGAGUGCUGGAACCUUGUUGGCAUAUCCACAAGUUCCCUAGUUAAGAACCUUAAGUAAGAACAUGAAUAAAUAGUGGUUUGGGGUCAUAUCCUGUUUCUGUCCUUUGCUGUUUGCUGGAGUAGUCUGCAAUGAUUCUGGUAUAAAUCAAACUCUGUUCGUCCAAUGUUUGUCAAAUUUUUAUGGGAACAAGUAGACUACUAUAUCUUUCCAAUGCCGCAAGAAUGACAUUAUUAUCUACUAUGAACUGUGAGUUAUAGCUGUUUAAAGUUGAAGUUUCUGCGCAGUCUGGAAUUCUGGAACAGUUUCGGUUGUACCCAGUUUUUGAUUAACCUAACUUUGGAAUCUGUUAAUAUGACCUGAACGAAAGUUGUAGAUAAUUUCUUUAUAUUUCCAACGGUUUAUAGCAUGUAUCCUUUUGAAUUCUGGAACUCAAGAUAGGAAUGAUUUUCUGAUCUGC
rnacentral:lncRNA from 1 species